CCAGCCCUUUCCCACUUAUUGUUGUUCCUUUUAUUCAUAUGAAGCUACAGAGAGUCCCGGCUGGAGAGGUGGGUGUGGGAACCGACCUAUCAACAUCAGUCAGCCCCGUGAGGAUGGGCGUGUGGACUGAGGCAUCCAUUCUUCAUCACGCGUUAUCUAAGGUGAAUAUCCUCUAAGGCAUCAGCUCAGAAGAAAAGGCUUCUAUUUUUUUGCCACCAUUCCUGACAUGUCGCUUCGCCACUGCUCUGUGCUUCUACAUUUUAGCCACAUCUGGAUGCUGUUGGAUGCUUCCUCUUUCUCGCAGGCAAACACAGCACAGCAGGCAGGUUUCUGCCAAGCUCGCCACUUCCCUUCAUCGUGUUUGGAGCAACAGUGAUCCUUGUAAGGUGCAAAGUGAGAAACGCUUCACAUUUUACAGAGUAACGCUCGAUUCUGGAAUCAACUUUGAAUUAAUUAACUUAUUCCACUUUUGAGCAUCUGCCGUUCUCUGUUCUUGAACCUGGGACUUCUUGUUGGUUCUCAUAAGUAGGCACUGAUUCGUACUUGCUUUGAUGCUUUCACUGGCAACCCCCUGUAUAAGGCACGAUCCCUGUUCUCAGAGUUUAUGAUCCAUUGCAGUAUGGGGAGAUUAGGAGUAGACAGUUCCGAGAGACAAGUGUGAGCUGAGCGUUACAGGCAGCGGAUGCUGCAGGCGUGAGAAGAGAUUGCUCUGGGCUGGACCGGGCUGCCUGCUGAGAUGCAUGAACUCUUGAGCUGAUCCUUUGCAGCGGGAGAGGAGAGGCCGGGCCAGGCGUGGGGGCAGGAUGGUGCCGACCGCAUGGUUUGUGCACAGUAGUUUCACAGAAGAUUCUUAUUAUGCAAUCAGUUCAUAAGCUCAUCUCUGCUGUGGACAUUCUUCCUAGCCUAACACAGGGGAGAAAAGUGGGUGUCAUGUACUGGAUACGUGAACUUGGUUGGAUGAUACGUCCAUGUAAAGUCCAAUUUCUUCAACAGUUACAGCCAACAUCAUGGGUUAGUGGCUCGUUUCAGAUGGAACACGUUACUGGGAGAGAGCAGCGCCUAGGUAUCUGUGAGCUGCCACCUCUCCCUCUGCUGCACGUAAAUAUACACAUGCGACGGGUGGGUUGGGGCAUACUUAGCUCUACAGUGUAUUCAUUUUAUGUAGGAACUUAUUCACUAAUCAAUUCUCCUACUUAUGUGAAUAAAUCCAAAUGUAGUAAAUCUGUA